rnacentral:lncRNA from 10 species
GUGAGAGGCUUCCCCUCCUUCAGGUUGCACCAACACCCUGCUGCUGAAGCAGGUCAGGAGAGCGGGGUGAGCACUACGUCAUCAGGGCAUCCUGAUCACUCUUUCCCCGGGCUCCUUCUGCGACACAGUGAAGACUCUAAACACUGUCUGGUGCUGUCGUCAGGCCCUGCCCUCCACAGGCAGAGUCUUUUCUAGUGUGCCCAGGCUUUGUUCCGGGGACCUCCAGGCCUCAGUGUCCAUCCACCACAGGCAUCCCUCACAGUUGCCUGACACGAGGUCCUGCCCUCUGUGGGCACUGUGAGCUGGAUGUCGUGGAGCUACCGUGCAUGCUACAGCCCUUGUCUCUUCUCAGCUUUGGGGGACCCAACACUCCAGGUUGGGCAGUUCUCUCCUCUUUCCUCCUGACCCCAGAGUCUCUUUCCUUUCUGCCACUGGGAGAGCAAACCCUCCUUCCCUGGGCCUAGACCUUUCAAAACAAUAGGCUGCUGGAGGGAUUAUCUGAGUGAAGAUAAGUUUUCUCUCUCUCCUCCCCUCCCUUCUUCUCCCCUUUCUUUUCUUUUGCCCUGAAACAAGAAGCUUGUUAACCAGACUUCUGAGGAUAAAGAGAGCCUGGACUCAAGAGCAAUCCCCAGAAAUGGAUAGAACCUGAGAGAGCUUCCGUCCCAACCAUCUCAUUUUUCAAAGGAGCCAGAGGAGCAAAGGGAGGAGGCCCAAGAGGAGAGUGGGGAUGCCUAGUUCAUGUCUGAGCCAGGACCAGCAUCCAGGUCUCGACUGCCACUCCCAGGAUCCUGCAUUUGGGAGCCCCCAGGAAUAUAGUAGGAUUGCAUUUCUGAGCCUGUAUUAGUCCGUUUUUACACAGCUGAUAAAGACAUACCCAAGACUGAGUAGUUUAUAAGGAAAAAGGGGUUUAAUGGACUCACAGUUCCGCAUGGCUUGGGAGACCUCACAAUCAUGGUGGAAGGCAAAAGGCUUGUCUUAGAUGGCAGCAGAGCUCAGUGCCCCCUCUGUCACAAUGGCCAGCAAUGUUCCAGAUAGUGACCACUCACUCAGCUAGGGUUCCAGAGGGAGGAAGAUGCAGAGCAGAGCCCCAGCUGACCUGCAGUGGACAUAUGAGGCUGGAUGUCGGGCAGCUGAAGGGUGAUCAGUCUUCUGCUGGAAUUAAAGCCUGCUGUGAUGUUAAUGAAGAACCGCCAGUGGGUUUGCUGGAAGGGGGAAAUUUGGAGACAGACACAUACACAGGGAGAUGCCGUGUGAAGACUUGAGUUCUGUUGCAGUGAACCCAGAUCACACCACUGCACUCCAGCCCGGGUGACAGAGCAAGACUCCAUCUCAAAGAAAAAAAGCGAUUAAAAACUUAAACAUAAGACUUCAAACUGUAAAACUACCAGAAGAAAGCAUAGGAAAAAAAUGAUUCUUAAUGUUGGUCUUGAUGUAAGCCAAAAAUAAAACUCUAAGCUUUCCCCCUGACCCCCAACUGACUGAAUGGACUACUCUCUCAGCCAAGGACAUUCCAAAGUAAACCUGAAAAACUAGUUCAGGCCAUGAUGGGAAGAGGGGGUCAGACAUUAUACCCUCCUCCCUUUGGAAUACAAACACAACUGACCAGCAUUAACAUUAAAACAGUGAUCUUAAGACUGACAAAACAGACUCUUGUCAGUAGCAAUAAGAUACUGAAUUCCAACCUGACUCUAGUAUAGCAUCACAUGACAGAUAGCAGGCCCUGAAAGAAAUCAAAGUGUUUUACCCCCAAAUAUAUUUCUUUGACAUAUUUUGAAAUGGCGCUGCAAACUGUUUCUUGCAGGGAAAAUUUACAUUCUGUAGAGAAUCCCCUUCCAUUUCCA